rfam:Ferroplasma sp. Type II genomic scaffold AMDT4_FER2S00174, whole genome shotgun sequence.
GGGCCCGUGGUGUAACGGAUUAUCAUAUAGGCCUCCGGAGCCUAUAAUCCGGGUUCGAAUCCCGGCGGGCUCA